CGACAAGCGACUGCCUUUUACCACAACUGUUUAUUCUUUGCACUGUUUAUAAUGGCUAAUGUUUACCAGUCCUCACCACCGGAGUUUUCUCCGCCGUUUCUUGUUGAGAAUCAACUCGAAAAGAGCUCAGUGAUGUGAUUGAAAGUCUUCGCUAUGGAGACCCAGACCCAAGUCCUCCUCCGCCAUAUUCUUGAUUCUAUCGUAAAAACGAACGAAUGAACUCUCUCGCUUGAUCUUACCCCUUUCAUUGAUUCAGAAUUGGACUAGUUUUUUCUGUUCAGUGAGUUUGGAUUUUAGUUUAUAAAAUUUGUAUAUUUAGGGAUUUUGAAUGAGUUCCAAGUGUGAGUAAAAGAGAGGUAUUGGAAUUGAAACACUUCAUCUCACCUUGUUUCAUACAUGAAAUCUCUUCAAUAUAAUUGUGUUUUGGUCUCUUU